GACGAACGCUGGCGGCGUGCUUAACACAUGCAAGUCGAACGGAAAGGCCCUGCUUUUGUGGGGUGCUCGAGUGGCGAACGGGUGAGUAACACGUGAGUAACCUGCCCUUGACUUUGGGAUAACUUCAUGAAACUGGGGCUAAUACCGGAUAGGAGCUCCUGCUGCAUGGUGGGGGUUGGAAAGUUUCGGCGGUUGGGGAUGGACUCGCGGCUUAUCAGCUUGUUGGUGGGGUAGUGGCUUACCAAGGCUUUGACGGGUAGCCGGCCUGAGAGGGUGACCGGCCACAUUGGGACUGAGAUACGGCCCAGACUCCUACGGGAGGCAGCAGUGAGGAAUAUUGCACAAUGGGCGGAAGCCUGAUGAAGCAACGCCGCGUGCGGGAUGACGGCCUUCGGGUUGUAAACCGCUUUCGCCUGUGACGAAGCGUGAGUGACGGUAAUGGGUAAAGAAGCACCGGCUAACUACGUG
rnacentral:rRNA from 1 species